CGUAUAUUAAAGUUGUUGCAGUUAAAAAGCUCGUAGUUGGAUUUGUGGUGUUUGGCUGAGUCUCAGCUUUGUCUGUGUGCUCGUGCCGGGUGCCAUCCUUGGGUGGAAGCAGUGUGGCAUUAGGUUGUCGUGCUGUGGAUGCCCAUCGUUUACUGUGAAAAAAUCAGCGCGUUCAAAGCAGGCUUAUGCCGUUGAAUGUAUUAGCAUGGAAUAAUAAGAUAGGACCUUGGUACUAUUUUGUUGGUUUGCGCACCGAGGUAAUGAUUAAUAGGGACAGUUGGGGG
rnacentral:rRNA from 1 species